UGAAGGUAAAACAAAAGGAGAUCCUUUCUAAAAGUUGCCAUGAGUUCUUGGAAGGAAGGUGAAGUUCUGACACAAGAUUUCCGCAGGAAGAAGGGAGCAUUUUUUUCAUUCUGCCAGACCUGCGCAUUUGGAGAUACAGGCAGAAGACUAGAAGAGUACAUCUAUGAAUGCCAGUCAGAAGACAUGAUGAAAACUUCUUAAUUUUAUAACACAUAAACAGACUAAAUCAUAGUUUCAGAUGAAAAAUUGUGAGCAUCAUAGACCAAGCUAAGUUCAAAAAUUACUACAGAAUUCCUGGAAGCCUGGCACUCAGACAAAUCAACUAUCAGCAGGCACAUGGAAAGAAACAAUAUCAACAUACCAUUCAAAAAAGGCACUCAAAAAGCCAAAAAGGAAACAAAAUUACCAGCAAACAGAUAAGCAGAGAUUAAGACCAAGAUUAAUACUAGAUCAACUAGAUCAAUACUAGAUCAAGAUCAAGCAGCAAACAAUACUUCAAUCAAGGGAUUCAGACAAGCUAACAAUAAACAGUAGCCUAUUUGAGGAUCCACCAAUACUGGCAGGAAAACAACUAUUAUAUAAAUAGAGAGAAGACUCCAUUCCCUCCUAUCAUGGAUUAUGUUGCUUAAUUUGAUAAGUAAAACACCUGCUAGAAAACAACCAUUGUUAGAGAACACCAACGACCCCAUAGUUCUAUCCUGCACUGCAAAUAUUCUCUUUUAUCAUAAUUGUUCUUAAAUUAGGAUGAAGACAAUUAAUAUUGCCUCUUUCUCUGUAUAACCUCUUUUUCUUUAAUGAAGAAUUUUUAAUAAGAAAAUUUUGUACCACUUUGUAAUAACCAAAAAAUGUGAAAAAUACCAUCCUCAUCUUCCAAUAGCUUGAAAUUGCUAUAAAUCUAUUCUGUAAGUUGUGCAGUUUAAAAUUGCUUCCUUGACUAAAGUUUUUUUUUUUUUAAGGCUUCAUAUUUUCUUGCAACACUAUUGUAUUGUGGUCUUUCUCCAUACUUUUAUCAAUAUUUUUUCUGUCAAUGUCUCCAAAAUGAUGUUUAUCUCUUUCUGAAUAAUGACAUAAUUGUCGUGGCAAACAGUUUUAAAUGCUUGUUAGUUUCUUGUGGUAUGAAGCCUAAGAUUUAUAGGAUCAGAGUGAGCUCACAUAAAUACAUUUACCAGAUGAAAAGUCUUGCAGACUGAUGGUAAUGCAACAGGCUAUUGUCAGGGGAAUCCUUAAACUCAUGUCCCAAACUAAGGUAUAACAAAUAAUGAGGCCACAGCAAUCCCAACAGAGACUUUGAGACAACUAGAUAAUAGAAGGAGAAAGCAGCGAUAAAGCUUCCUUAUGGCAUCAGUUGUGUCAGUGACAUAAUAAACUCUUUACUCAAAUUACAUGAUCUGAAAGACAGUCCUUAAGUUAUGUUAAGUGUGUUAUUUGCUGUGAAUAGAGUGAAUUUGUAAUGACUUUGAGAAGAGGAAAACAAACCACAUUCAUAUUGCAAUGUGAGACUUACCAUCCAGUAGAUGCAUUAGUACAGGGACAAUCACCUUUCUAUUGUUGUAAUGAAAGCAUAAGCGGGAAGAUAAGGUUUGCUAUCUGAUACAUGUUGCAAAUCCCAAAGUUCUACAGCACUGGCCAAGCUGUAUGGGAAUGUUAGAAUUUAUAGUCCAAUACAUGCAGAAAAUACCAGCUUGUAGGGGAAAAAACCCUCUCAAAAAGAUAGUUCUUUUUAUUAAGUCAUAUUUAAAUUGUUAUCCAAAAGUAUAUUAAAAAUAUGUAAUAUAAACAAGUUGUUCUAUUUUCACAACCAUUACAGUUUAGUUCCGGGGUUGAUUGGUUAGCUGCCUUCUAUUGCAAGGAAGUUUAUAGCAGGAAGCAUAAAACUUUCUAGUAUUAAUCCUAGAAUACAGCAUUGGAACUGAAGGUUUCUUAGAUCAUCAUACCUAUUAAGGAAUGAAUUUGCCCUUCCUGAUAUUCCCCACGGAAAUUAGCAGAAUUUAUUAUC